AUUUGCACAAAGAGGACAGCAGGGGACAGAGCAGGAGCUAAGGAGGGACACACUGCUUGGCUGGCACUCUGGGCUAACCAGAAUGGACCAAGGUUGGCUCUACGAACCCUGAGACUUUAUUUUCCAUCUCUCUCCUUGUUCCAUCCUGUGUUCUCAGGAGGCACUGAGAUGUACUAACAGUUUCAAGCUCCUUCAGUAUGGCAACUUUAUCUCCUACACCCACUACAUUCCCAUGUGCCUGGCUGAAUCUUUAGGAUCCCCACCAAUCAAUGUCUCCCUGCGCCCACAUUUAACCACUUCUGCCAGAGGAUCCAUGUCAUAAAUAUGCCUCCUUUUGAAGGCUGUCAAAGUCACUGCUGCUGUCAGGUGGCAAAGUUUGUGUGGAAGCCCAGUUUCUUCUCCCAGGGGCUCAGAAUGCCACCUCUGCAGUUUCCAGAGUUCAGAGAGAGGUGAUGGGUCUGUCCGUUUUGGAUUUCACGGAUUUCUCUUGUGACAGGUCACAACAGCAACAUCACCAAGCUGAC